rnacentral:rRNA from 1 species
UACGUAGGGUGCAAGCGUUGUCCGGAAUUAUUGGGCGUAAAGAGCGUGUAGGCGGCCCGAUUAGUCCGCUGUGAAAGUCCAGGGCUCAACCCUGGAAUGCCGGUGGAUACUGUCGGGCUAGAGUCCGGAAGGGGCGAGUGGAAUUCCUGGUGUAGCGGCGAAAUGCGCAGAUAUCAGGAGGAACACCAAUGGCGAAGGCAGCUCGCUGGGACGUGACUGACGCUGAGACGCGAAAGCGUGGGGAGCAAACAGG